AACAAACGCUGGCGGCGUGCCUAAUACACGCAAGUCGAACGGGGAAAGCUUUCGGGUGGGUACUAGUGGCGCACGGGUGAGUAACGCGUGGAUAAUCUGCCUUAGAGUGGGGGAUAACUAGUCGAAAGAUUAGCUAAUACCGCAUAAGACCACAAGAACUGCGGUUCAAGGGGUCAAAGGUUUUUCGCUCUAAGAUGAGUCCGCGUAAGAUUAGCUAGUUGGUGAGGUAAUGGCUCACCAAGGCGACGAUCUUUAACUGGUCUGAGAGGAUGAUCAGUCACACUGGAACUGAGACACGGUCCAGACUCCUACGGGAGGCAGCAGUAGGGAAUAUUGCACAAUGGAGGAAACUCUGAUGCAGCGACGCCGCGUGAGUGAUGAAGGCCUUCGGGUCGUAAAGCUCUGUCGCAGGGGAAUAACACAAUGAAUGUACCCUGUAAGAAAGGAUCGGCUAACUUCGUGCCAGCAGCCGCAGUAACAC
rnacentral:rRNA from 1 species